CUGUGGAUCAGACUGAUGGUUAGGUCUGUCCCUCCUAAAAAAGCACAAAUUUUUGGGCAAGUUUAUCAGGAAAGAAAGAGCCGCUAUCUACAAUGAUAGGGUUACAAUGCUGGGUUACAACCUCUUCCAGAAUUGCUUCUGUAUUUUACAUGAAAUGGUUGCUGGAUAAAAUCCUUGAAACUGGUCUUGAGUUCUUGACAGGUUGAUACUUUAACUACUCCCUGGUGAUUCCAGUUUACUCUCCUUGGGAGGCAACGAACAAAAGCCUUCCUUGCAGAGCAGUACCCAGUUCAGCAGGAGGGACUGACAAAUGCUUUCAGCUGCUCAAUUGUACAUGGCUUAAUGGAUGGGAAGAUGUGAGUUUUCUUACCACCAGAAGCCUUUUGGCACAGUGCUACUCAUCCUGAUGGCUGUCCUAGGGCUGGAGCUGUGUAAAGGAUGGAAAGUUUCACCUAUAUCCCAGACUGCCAGGAGACAGAUGGGCCUCAACUGAUUGUGCAACUCGCCUCUCUUCGUAGUAUCACAGUGACUCAGAUGAAUUGUGAUUUUGGACAUCACUAAUGGACUAAUGGCUUUUAGAAACAUAACAGGCUGCAGCUUCUAAUAUCUGUUCUGGUAAUGAAGCCCUGUGAAUCCUAGAAUACCUCUCUGUGAUUUUCUGUCUGUAUUUACUCUUGUCAUCUUUCAAGCAUCCAGUGUCUUGGUGAUUGUCUGUGAAUGAACACACCAUUUGCAGAAAUCAAAAUCUCUUCCUGAAAAGAGAAGCAAGCCAAAAGUUUUCUUCAUAUGUAUUAUUGAUGGAGUGAAGCCCUUUCCUGAUGUGGGGGCGUAUGUAAGCAGAGGGCAACUAAUAUUUCAAAGAAGAUUGGCAUUUCUUACCAAGAAUCUGUUGUGGCAAAGAAUCUCUCAACCUCAAGAAGUAACCUGGAGAGGAAUCCCUACUCACAGGGAGAUCUUGGUGUGCAGCCAUACAGGAGAGCUCAACAGGCCCUAGGAUGUCCUCUCUUCUCUGUUUAUGGAGUAAGAUGACUGACCUCCAGUUGUAUUUGCAUGCCAGCAAGAUAUCUGGGUCACUGCUCCAGACAGUCCCUGUCUGCCAUCCAUCCCUGAAGUUCAGAGGAAGCUGCAUGCUUACUCAC